rnacentral:snRNA from 1 species
GUGCUCGCUUUGACAGCACAGGUACUAAAAUUGGAACAAUACAGAAAAGAUUAGCACAGCCCAUGCACCAGGAUGACAUGUAAAUUCCUGAAGCAUUCGAAAGUUCU